rnacentral:lncRNA from 1 species
AUUUAUUUAUUAUUUCAAUAGGUUUUUGGGGAACAGGUUGUGUUUGAUUUCAUGAAUAAAUUCUUUAGUGGUGAUUUCUGAGAUUUUGGUGCACCCAUUACCCGAGCAGUGUACACUGUACCCAACGUGCAGUCUUUCCUUUCCCCUGAGCCCCCAGAGUCCAUUGUGUCAUUCUUAUGCCUUUGUGUCCUGAUAGCUUAACUCCCACUUAUUAAUGAGAACAUACAAUGUUUGGUUUUCCAUUUCUGAAUUACUUCACUUAGAAUAACGGUCUCUAAUUCCAUCCAGGUUGCUGCAAAUGCCAUUAUUUCAUUCCUUUUUAUGGCUGAGUAGUAUUCCAUGGUGUAUAUAUCUAUAUUACAUUUUCUUUAUCCAUUCGUUGAUUGCUGGGCAUUUGGAAUGGUUCCAUAUUUUUGCACUUGUGAAUUGUGCUGCUAUACACAUGUGUGUGCAGGUAUCUUAAUAGCACCUACUUUGCAGGGCUGGAUUCCAUGCAGUAACUCUUCUAAUGCCCUCAGAACAGGGCCUGAUGCAUGGGGAAGACCUGAGUAUGUGCUCCUUGUUUUUAUUAUUUACUAAAUUAGGGUGAUCAGGGGAACUAUAAUUACUUGCUAGCAGGGUGUCUAAGGCAGCAGUUCUCAAGUUUUGGAUCUCAGGACCCUUUAACGUUUAGAAAAAUUAGUGCAGGCCUUGAGCUGUUGUGUAUAGGUCUGUCGUAUCUGUCCAUAUUUACAAUAGUAGAAAUUAAAGCUGUGAAAAAAUUAUGUAUUAAUUCAUUUGAAAAUGUUAACGAAUCUAUUUUGUUUACAUAAAUAAUACAUUUUUCAUGAAAAAUAGCUCUAUGUUUUAAAACCAAUAAAAUAAUAUGAAAGUGAGAAGUGACCUCGUUUUACAUCUUUGCAAAUCUCUUCACUGCCUGGCUUAAUAGAAGUCAGCUGGACUCUCACAUCCACUGUUGCCUUCAUUCUGCUACAAUAUCACACCACGUGUAGCCCUGGGAAACUCCACUGUACACCUGUGAGAGCAUGAGUGUGAGAAGGCAAAUAUCUUCCUACUGCUAUGAAAAUAAUUUUGGCCUUUUGUUCUCCUGAUCCUCUGAGAGACAUCUUAGGACCUCACUUAGAGAAUCACUGUCUAAGGUCUAUUUCAGGCAGGGGCCUCUCCAGCCCCUGAUGCCCUCCUGGCACCUGCUGGGCCUGGGGCUGAGUCCAGGCUUGCAGAAUCUAGUGGUGGCGGCGUGGUUAGUUGAUGGUGUGCAUUUGCAGCUGCUCUCUGAUCCAGUAGCACUGGGGAGGCAUGCAUGGGACUUCCCUGCACUUUACAGUGAGGACGCUCUGGCUCAGAGGGUGGAAGGGCCAAGAGUGGGGGCUGUGCAGGGGGCAUGCUGCUCUGCGUGAGGCAGGAGGGAGCCUCAGAAGGGUGCUCUCUUGGGCCUCAGAGGUUGUCUCUCUUCAUGCUGAAGUACCUCUUGCCUGAUAUGGCCUCUUAGGGGAGGUGGCAUUGGGUCUCUCUCCAACCUACACAUCCCCAAGUCCACCCUAUCACCGUGCACCCAAGACACCCUCACCCGCCUGCCUACCAGCCCCCAGCAAUGCACACACUGGGCCAGGCAGGUGCAGGGACUGCAGGUGAAUGAUGAAGGUCAAGCCACGGGCGCCUGGGUGAGACAGGUUUGCCCGGGCCUCCCUGAGCCCUGGUCUGUGGCCUGGGUCUGGAUGGGUGUGCUUUAUGUGCAUGUGACCUCUACCCCUGGGGGUGGCCCGUGUGUGUCUCUGAAGCCUCUCGCGGGGUCUGUCAGAGCUUUGUCCCUCCUUUUGUGAGCGUCUGCUCACUCCCGGGGCUGUGUGACUCCUUCUGGGUCUCUUGCUCAGUGACUCUCUCUCUCUCUCUGUCUGUGUGUGCACUGCACAUGCGUGGUGUGACACUUUCUCUGGGUCAGGGCAGCUUGCCAUUUCGGGGGCUAAGCUGGGGAGUGGCUGCAGAGCUCUCCCUUUGUCUCCAGCACAUUCUUCUAGGGCCAGAAGCGUUGUUGUGGCAACUGGUGGCUGCCCUGUCAAUGGGGCAGAUGUGCCUGUGACCACGUCGAGGGGGCUUGAUCUGUGUCCACUCCCCCACUGGCCCCUGGGCAAGCAGGCGGCCCUCAGGACAGGCCCCCCGCUUGUCCUCCAGCUCCUCCACUCAGACGCCUGCCCAAGCCCACCGCCUCUGAGCCUGGCUGGGCCCAGGCAGGGGGCCUGGCGAGUCUGGGAACAGGCUCCGAUCUCAUUCAUUCUCAUUCAACAAAUAUUUAUUAACCCCAACUGUGUGCUGGCACUGGGAACCCAGCAGCCACAAAGACAGACAAAGUCCUGCUCUCUUGAAACUUAAUGACCAUAUUAAUACGCAAAGCUCACACUUCCACACCCUCACGGCAUGCCAGGCACUAUGUUUAGCAACUUGCAUAUAUUAACUCAUUUAAUCACUGUGAUAAUCCCAUUACUCUUCCUAUUUUACUAAUGAUGAAGUACAAGCACAGAGAUGUUAAGUUAUUUGCCCCAAACCACACAGCCAGUAAAUAGAGCCAGGAGUGAAUCCAGGGCAUCUGGCUCCAGGGUCCAUGCUCUUAAUCACUAUACUGUAUAGCCUCUAACAAAUGAGAAGCAUCAUUUCAGAUAGUGGUAAGAGCCACGAAGAAACAAAAAUAGUGGGUGAGGGGGUGCUGGGAGCCAGGUUAGUUGUGAGUAUGUCCUGAAGUGUUGGCAUUUGACAUGAGCCCUAUUAACAAGAAAGAGUCAGCCAUGCGAUGACCAGAGGGAGCAGCAUGUGCACAGGCCCAGAGGCAGUGUGGAAGCUGGCUUGUUAGAGGAACAGAAGGAGGAGGGAUAGGCUAGAUCCUGGAUAGAAAGGGGCUCUGUGCUGUACCAAAUGAACUCCCAGAUCCCACAGCCGUGUAUUUCCUGCCUGCGGAUAUUCCUGACCAGCAGGUUGACUUUCCUCCAGGUGGACAGUCAGGGACCCAGAGCCCUUCCUUCUGUGGCUUCACAGCUGGCAUCCCAUGGCCCACAUAGGUAAGGAGCGUUGGGGGUGUUGACGGGCCAGGAAGUGGAGUGCAUCGCCUCUACUCCAUCAUCCAGAACCCAGUCACAUGGCCCAGAAUAAGAGGAUCUGGGAGUGGCAAAAAGCCAGCCAGACUCAGCCCCAUAAAUGGCUGGUGGUUGUGCAGACAGAGAGAGCUCAGAUUUGGGUAUAGGUUGAGGUUGAAUCAAUGGGACUUGUUGAUGGAUGGAGUAGAGGAAGACAAGACCCAUGACUGACUCCAGGACUGCACAACUGGCAGGGUGAGCAGCUGAGGCUCGAGGGCUCCACACAGCAGAAUGGCUGUGUCCCCACCAUAGCAUCAGUGCUAAGGAGCUCUCCUUUUGUUCCGUGAUUGAGUUCUGGGAAAUCAUUCCCCUCCCUCUCCCCACACCCUUUGCUAUGUAGCUGGGCAGGUCCUGCUGGGAAGAGGUGGCAUCUGCUUCCCUACACCUUGAAUCUGGGCUGGCCUGGACUUGCUUUUGCCAGUAGGACAUGGAGAACUAAUAUAGUGAUGGUACCAAGCCAGGGCCUCAAGAAGCCUUGCAGCAUCUGCUCCCACUUUUGGAGUCCUUCCCCUCUGAUGGAAACCAGCUUGGGCCAGCCUGCUGGAGGAUGAGACCAUGUGGAAGAGACCCUGGUUGUCCUAGCAGAAGCCACCCUAGAGCAGCCUAUAGACAGCUGACCCCAAAAUAUGUGGAAGAUUCUGCUAAGCUCAGCAGCGCCACCUACUUGACCCACAGCUGACCAUAGGUGUGUGAGAGAGCCCAGUUGAGACCAGAAGUGCCCGGUGCACCCAUGCACUCAUGAGCAAAGAUCAAUCCAUAGUGUCUGGAGGCAGUUAGUUUGGGGGUAGUUUGUUAUUCAGCCAUAGCUCACUGACACAAUUCCCCAAGCAGGAAAGGAACCUGGUCAUCGAGCCUGGGACAUGAGUUCCAGUCCUGUGCCUGUCAGUGAAUUUUCAUGUGGGUGGGCCCUGUAGCAGGCUCUGGAGCACCAUCAAGGAGUGUGGUUCUGAUUCUAGCAGGCCAGGAAAAGAAUGUGGGCAAGGGCUGCAUGUGGGUGGCCCUGGGUCUCAUCCUCCCUGAAGCAGCAUGAACAGACUUUUCAGAGGAGUCUUCAGAAGAGUUUGUCAGGUGGGGGAAAGGUGAGUGCUCUGGGCAGAGGAGACAGCAAAGGACAAGAUGUACAGAGAAAUGGGACCACAGUAAUUCUGUGCUGGAGACAAAUAGGGUGUGGUGAUGAAAGAGAGGGCAUGAGAACUGCUAGAACCUCAUCUGGCAGAGUGCUUAUCUCCUAAGUGGCACCAUUGCUACUGCUGUGCAAAAGGCUGCCAGCAUGGCAGGUGCAAGGUCACUGUGGGAUAAGGAACUUGGACUUUACCUACAGGACAAUGGGGAGCCAUGGCUGGUGGUAGGUAUGGUGUGAGUUGGUCUGGCCAGAGCUUGGAGGCUGGCUUGAUGGGGUAUGAGUGGAAGCAGGGAGACCUGGAGGAAGCCUUGGCAUUCUUUCAGAUUCUCACCUGAAAGAGACAAUGGUGGCCAAAGAAGGUGAUGGGCAGUGAGAAAACUCAUGAGAUGCCCCAGGGAGAAACUGCCAGAGCUUGGCAGCCUGUUGAAUGUGCCUGGUGUUGGGGAGGAAUUUGACAAUGGCAAUCUGCAUCUGGCAUGGACAGCCUGUGUGGUCCACAGCCUGAACCUCUUAUCUCCAUCUUCCUCAAGCCUCUGUUUGAGGUGGUGGAAUGCUCAGGUGAUGAUGGCUCAGAUGAUGUGUGACAGCCCAAACUAUAGCCUUCCUUCCCUUGCUUCUGGGUGGUGAGGCCUUGAAGAGGUAAUUUCUCUUCCCUGAGACUGGUUGUCAUUUGUGAAGUGGGAGCAAGAGGCUUCCUAGGGUCUCAGGAAACAUGUCUUAGACUUGCCUUGAAGUGUGCAGGGGACAGCCCCACCUCAGGUGGGAAAAGCCUCCCCAGGACUGUCCUGACCUCAGGUGGGAAAAGCUUCCCCAGGACUGUCCUGACCUCAGGUCGAAAAUCCUCCCCAGGACUGUCCUGACCUUGGGUGGGAAAAGCCUCCUCAGGACUGUGCCUGCCCUUGGGUGGAAAAGCCUCCCCAGGACUGUCUUGACCUUUGGUGGGAAAAGCCUCCCCAGGUCUGUUCUGACUCAGGUCUUGCUGAGGGGCUCCCUUGCCAAUUGGCAGGGCACCCUCUGCAGAGAGGUUCAGAGCACAGCUGAACAGGGCACCCG